GUCUGCGUUUCAUUAGCUAGUUGGUGGGGUAACGGCCCUACCAAGGCAACGAUGGGUAGCCGAUCUGAGAGGAUGAUCGGCCACACUGGAACUGAAACACGGUCCAGACUCCUACGGGAGGCAGCAGUGGGGAAUAUUGCGCAAUGGGCGAAAGCCUGACGCAGCGACGCCGCGUGAGGGAUGAAGGUCUUCGGAUCGUAAACCUCUGUCAGAAGGGAAGAAACUAGGGUGCUCUAAUCAUCAUCCUACUGGCGGUACCUUCAAAGGAAGCACCGGCUAACUCCGUGCCAGCAGCCGCGGUAAUACGGAGGGUGCAAGCGUUAAUCGGAAUCACUGGGCGUAAAGCGCACGUAGGCUGUUAUGUAAGUCAGGGGUGAAAUCCCACGGCUCAACCGUGGAACUGCCCUUGAUACUGCACGACUUGAAUCCGGGAGAGGGUGGCGGAAUUCCAGGUGUAGGAGUGAAAUCCGUAGAUAUCUGGAGGAACAUCAGUGGCGAAGGCGGCCACCUGGACCGGUAUUGACGCUGAGGUGCGAAAAGCGUGGGGAGCAACCAGGAUUAGAUACCCUGGUAG
rnacentral:rRNA from 1 species